rnacentral:lncRNA from 1 species
GUGUUGACAGGAUGUAAUCAUCGAUGAUAUUUACGGAUAUGUAUUUCCUUGUAUUUAUGUUUUUGUGAGUUUAUUGUGCUAAUGCUCAUUACAAUAUAUCUUAUUUAAUCAUCGUUUAAUGAAAUACAACAAAAUAUAAAUGUGUUUUUCUAUUUUUUCCUUAUAUGAAAACAUUUACAAGAGAGAGUUUUAGCGCUAUAAAACCAGGUUCAUUCCACCAUUUUCUACAUAAGAAAAUGUUUGUACCAAGUCAGGAAUAUGACAGUUGUUGUCCAUUUGUGUGAUGUGUUCGUGCUUAAGAUUUUGCCAUUUGAUUGGGGAAUUUCCGUUCUGAAUUUUCCGCGGAGUCCAGUAUUUUUUGUGACUUAACUUUUUACACUAAGUAACAAUUAUAUAUUUGAUUUCAGGAGACCAAAUAUCUUCAAAUUGAGGAAGUACAUACAUUACGGUCAUAUUAACAAACACGAAGAUUCUAUUGUGAUAAAUUUAGAAAAUGCAUGAUUAGAAUUGUCUACAGAAACAUCCCCGUCCAGUGAGGAAAAAAGGAACGAAUAAUAUGUAAUUAACAGUUUUUGUAUAAGAAAUAUUUUUUCAUGUUUCUGCGUAUUUAAAGUAUUAAAAAAUAUUUAUUUAGAGUUUUGUUGCACUGACGAUUACCUCAAGAUAUUUAUUUGUUGUAUAUAUUUUUACCAACUAGAUAUCAUAGCAAUAACGAGAAUUGAAGUGAAACAGUGAUUAUAUUUUCCCACAAUAGAUAAGGAAGUUACAUUUUAAAAUACGAGUUAUGUUGUGACCUAUAAAAUAUGAAAUAAAGAGGAUUAUUUACGUUUGUGUAUUCAUAUUACUAAUGGUGAGCUUUUUUGUUUUCUUGAGAUAACAAUAUAAGAAUUUAAAUGAUGUAUCUGACUUAUCAAGUUUUAAACACACAUUGUUAGAAAUAUUUAUCAACAUUCAUUUAAGAAAAUAUGAAACUAUUUUAAUAAAGACACAAAACUUCCGAGAUCCACUCAAAGAGGGGUUAACAUGGGAAACCUGCAAAUUCAACUGUUAAAUGUAUUUUUAUUCUUUUGGUAGAUAGAAGAUUCCCCGACAUGUCUAGUAAUUAUAGAUUAUCGUUGAUCAUCUCAACGACAUUGAUUUUCUCGCUUGAGCCAACAAGGAGAAAAGCCAUCGAGUUGAGAUGACCAAUGAUAAUCUUUUUAUCGCUAUUUUACCUAUGACGACGUUGUUAAUUCCUGUUUAUUUCAUCAACAACGCAGUGCUUCCUUCGUUUCUAGCGAUAAAAUUUGAUAUCACUUGACUUUGCUGAGAAAGGUAAUUAUUAGUCAGUAAGAUCAAAGGAAAUUUCGUAAAAAUAACUAUAAUAAUUUAUAUCAGUUCACACACGACAAUUUAGGAUUAAUAAAGGCAUUAGUAGUAUACUGCUGUUCAAUUGUCAUAAAUUGAUUGAGAGAAAACAUAUCCUGGUUACAAACAAAAACUGAGGGAAACACAUCAACUAUCAGAGGGAAACAACGAAACAACAGAAACACUAAAGUGCAGCAAAAAACCCAACGACAAUGUAACACACACAGAAACGAACUAUUAGAUAUGUAAAAUAACAACUGUCAUUUUCCUGACGUAGUACAGGACAUUUUUAGAAACCAAAUGGUGGGUUGAACCUGCUUUUCUGGCUAACCAAACCUCACGCUUUUAUGACAAUGUUAAAAUAACAUUAAAAGAACAACAUAUCAUGACAGGGUUACAGUACAAAGAAAGGCAAGAAUAUUCAAAAAAAAAGAGAAAUAAACUAAUAAACAAUACAAUAAUAUAUUUCGCCAUGCUAAUAGUUAUCAAAGGUGUCAGGCUGAUAAUGUAACACGUCAAACACGAGUUUUAUCCACAUAAGACUCAUCACUGACGCUCAGAUCAAAAUAGACAGAAAGCAAUACAAGUAUAAUGUUAUUGAUUACGCAAAAUUACAGAGCGUUGUGCCAAAUACGUCUAAGGUUAUCUAUGCCUGGGAUAAGAAAAUCCUUAGUAUUUAGAAUAAUUCAUAAGUCGUACCAUUCUUUCUUAAUAUACAAUAAGUAAAAUGGUUGAUAGACAACUAUCCAACAUAGUCUAUUACGGGGAUUUAAACAAUACAAGAGCAUUCUGCCUCCAUAAAUGGAACCCAAGGCGUUAAGUAACCUUCAAAAUGACAAAUCCAAACGAUAGACACAACGGCCUGAUUUACGACAAAAUAAUAAACGAAAAUCCGACUCAGCAAUCAGCGGCAUUCACUGACUUAUAAAUGACUUUUUUUAUUUCUAAUUUAUACAAAUGAGUUUUGUUGUUAUAUAAAAUACAAGUUAGAAUCUUUUAUAAAUUGUGUCCGAGUGAUUUUGUUGAGAAUGAUAAUACAUUACUAUAAACAUAAAAUGCUAAAUGCUAAAAUAAUAGUAUGACAUGUGUGCAAUUACUUCACAGCUAUCUCUUCCAGUUUAUCGUUUCUCCUCACCUGUAAACUCGUAUAUUGUAUCAAUUAAAAAAGUUUAGCAUUACUACUUAACUCUUAAGGCAUUUUAUUGUGCAAUCCUUCAAGCCCUACACAUCAUCUAGGUUGUGUUGUUUGGGUUUCAGUUCUGGGUGUUAAAUUUUGAAGGCUGCACAUAUUUGUUGGAUACUGGAGUUGAUAUCAGUGUAAAUAUUAUUUUAUGUUGACUAAUAAAUAUCAUCUCUGAAUUUGAGAAAACUAGUCCAAUAUCCAAAACUUUAUUAUACUUUGUGAUGUAUAUUCCUACAAAAUCUCCUUGACGGACCUGACUUGAGAAACAUAGAACAAAAAUGCAUCAAUAUAUUUUAUUUAAUCACAAUUUUCAUUUCUCGAACCUCACCUGAUUGCUUUAAUAAGAUGUUAUCCUGAAUGAAUUCAGAAUCCUAAAUGUAACUUUAACUUCAUCAAAAACUACCUUGACCAAAAACUUUAACCUGAACUUCGCACUAUCAUUUUCUAUGUUCAGUGGACCAUGAAAUUGGGGUCAAAACUAUAAUUUGUCAAUAAAAUUAGAAAGAUCAUAUCAUGGGGAACAAGUGUACUAAGUUUCAAGUUGACUGGACUUCAACUUCUUCAAAAUUUACCUUGACCAAAAACCUUGACCAACGUCUCAAACAAUGGCCACGAAGAGAUGACUUAUCAUAUUACCAACACUCGCAAGGAUCAGUUCCUCAACAAGAAUGUCUUGCAAAAUUAGUCUACUGGUGAUCAUCUAGAAUAAAUAUAUAUUUCAAAACGUAUAAAAAAGACAAAUAACUCAACAUAUUGCUUGACAAAGUGCCGUAGUUAUAAGGCUAGUAGAGUAAAAACUAUACAGGGGUGUCCCACAUAAAAACAUUUCAACCGAAAAUGUACAACAAAAAUGACAUGUACGUCUAAUUAUGUUACUAUAUUGCUUUAUCUUAUAUCUUGCAAGGUGAUAAAACACAAAUCGAUUACGUCUUUAGAAAAUAUAACAAUGCAUUAAGUGUUUUUAAGCAUGUAACACUCCCAAAUGUGUCCUUCCUCCAAACGUGUCCGAUUCCCCCAAACGUGCCGUAAUAUUCAAUAUUCCCCAAACGUGUCCGAUUUCAGAACCCCGAAACGUGUCCGAUAAUUGUUAUUUGCCAAAACGUGUCCACUAUUACACACCAGAACGUCUCACGUCUUUUAUCGCAAAUACAUAUAUGUCCUAAAUGAAAUCGAUAACGUUUACGGCAAUUCUAUUAAGAGGGAAGCAAUUGAUGAGGUGGCAAUUUAUUAAUAUGUUCAAUGUCGGUUGUUAAUGAUUAUCAUAAUUGCAAAUUUAAUCUGUAUUACAUGAAUUAAAUUUUGACUGAAAUUGCUUAUUGUCCAGUUGCAAGUAUUUCAUGCUUAUUUAUAGCGAACAUACAAAAAAUUAAAGGUAGUUUAAUUAAAAGAAUUAAUUGUUUACUGUGUAAAUCAUUUGUGUAUUAUAAACUCCGGUGAUGUCUUUUAUAUCAAUCCGACGGCGAUCGUUCAGCAAAAUUUAGUUCCAAUUAUUCAACAGUUCGGAUAUUUUAAAAGUUCAUCAAAUCAUAAACUGUUAUUCAGUUUUUUUAAUAAAUUUUAGGUUUCGAGCAUCACUUAAGACACACGAUUAAACAUAACGUCCAGAGCCAAAUAUUUCAUGCAUUAUUUGAUUGACAUCAUGUUAAUAAUUUAGAUAGUUUCUGCAGAUGUAUUAUCACACCGGGAGCCAGUCCACAUUUGUCAACACUGGUAUCACGCAGUACUUUGAUAGCGAACAAAUGUAUCCUGUGGAAUUGUUUAGUAAAACUCCCUGGACGAUAUGACCAGCUACAGAUAUUACAAUAAAGGAGAUAUCGUUGAUUACAAAAACACAAUCCUGCAAUGAAAAGGGACUGCAGUUUUAGUAGCGGUUUCUGGGGAAGAGGUGUAUAGUAAUACAAAUAGAUAAGUGUCCUAGACAAGGCACAUUUCACACUGUUAAAGAUGAUAUAAUAUAUUUCUGAUUUCAUAUAAACAGACACCAGAUAAGAAUGGUAUAAUAAAAAUGCAUUUUUAUUAGCACGGGUUCAUUUUAUCAAUAUGAUUAUUAUGUGAUCCACACCAGUUGUUAAUUACCGUAAUUGCAAAUUUAAUUUGUACUGUAUCUAUAAACUUUAGACUGUUGAUAGCUGUCAAGUUGCAAGUAUUUCAUGCAUAUUCAGAGAGAACAUACAAGUUUUAAUGAUUUUACAUUUCUAGUGUAUAAAUUAACUUUAAACUGAUGAUUGCGUAUUGUCCAGUUGCAAGUAUUUCAUGCAUAGUUAGAGAGAACAUACAAGUUUUAAUGAUUUUACAUUUCUAGUGUAUAAAUUAACUUUAGACCUAAGAUUGCGUAUUGUCCAGUUGCAAUUGUCUCAUGCAUAUUUAGAGAGAAGAUAAAAGUUUGAAUGCGCAGAGAAAGAGACAUUUUGACCAGGUAUAUGUACAGUUUUGAUAAACGUGUUUGCUUACAAUUUACAUACGACAUAGCCGAAGUGACGCCCCCACUUUUACCCAGUUUAUACUGCAGGUUUAGAAAAGACCUUACGACUUUUUUUUUUAAUGAAAUAGUAAAAGUAUUAUACGAUAAUGAAAUAGCAAUAACCAAAUAACGCGUGAUAUUGACACGUUUGGGGGAUUGUACACGUUUGGGGGUUCGUUGAAAAAUCGACACGUUUGGGCGCCCAUACAUGUUUUGCAGUUCAGUGACCUCGAUGUGGACACGUUUGGGGGAAUAGGACACGUUGGGGGAAGGACAUUGGCAAUCAUACCACAUCUUCUUUUUCAUAUUCAAAAAAAAUGAGAAUAAAAGUAUGUGGUUAUAAGUUGAACAAAUAAUCAUAAGAGGAUUCUUUUAAAUAAUGUGUGUUUACAUGUACAACUACUGAGAAAUUUAGUAGUUUGGGCUUUGUACAUUAAUUAAGCCCGUAUGGGGACCCAUACUUGAUAACCUCUCUUUCUACUUCUACUUAUACUUUAUGGAUGUGUUUUAUACUUGAACGUGUUUCAUGGUCCACGUUUCAUAAACUUAUAUUACAUAUACCCAAUAUACCAUUUCAGUCAGUUUUCAAAACUUGUUUACAUUUGUUUCCUUUUCCCAACUGAAUAUAUAAAAUUCUCAGAUUAAAAGAUGUCAAUCUAUAAGUACUGGAUAUACAUACAAUGGUACAUACUCUGUAAAGAUCACGCAAUUAAAUCUUAUGAUAUGUAUAUAAAAUUAUGCAGCCCACACAGAAUGUUUGACUUGUGUUUAUUCUGCAUAGUGUUUGUGAAUAAACGGAGAAUAGGGAAACGCGCUAACGAAAUUAACUCACGAAUACAAUAUAUCUCAUCGAUCUAUGUAUGUACACGUAUGGCAUAAGAUACUGUAAAAAUGCAAUAACUGAUUCAUUGUCCUUGAAAAUGUUUUAAAGCAUAUUAUUUCUAUGUACAGGAUACAAAAAAAUAUCCAUGAAGAAAAUUCUCUUUGCAAAAAGAAUUAAUUAUAGUGGAUUCAGCUGAUUUUAACGCUAAUAGUAUAUAUCAUUGUCAGUCAGGUUAUUUAAUGUUUUAAAGAUCCUAUCAAAUUUAAAGUCAGCACUGUAAAUCUUUAAAUCCUUUUUAAAUUUCGAAAAGUUAUCGAAAAUUAUACUUCGUAAAUUUUGUGCGUUCGCAUCGCCUUUCUGAAUUUACCGUCUUUUGAACCGAGUGUAUGCUAAAAUCUAUAUGCCGGACGAAACCUUGUAUGACAAUAAUCCAACUUCAGACAGUCUUUCCAGAGGGAGGUAAUGAGAACGUUCUAGCAUUUGAUAUAGCUUAUUUACGAACUCUUGCAAAAGUUCGGCUAUUGCAUUAAAAUCAAUCAUUAAAACAGAGAUUUAGUUAUACGGAUUUAUUAGAAUUGAAUUACAUUAAGAUAAUUUGGAUACUAAUUGUCCUUGGAAGAGGAUGGUAACAAGAUUUAUCGGUCGUCUUACUGUCAUCACUCUGCUCAGUUUUUAAUAUUAUUUCAUAUAAUAUCCCUGCUUUGUGACAUCAAAAACGUUGACCCGGGCAUACAAGAUGAUCUGCAAAAAAAAAAUCGCGCUCUGUCCGGAAUAAUACCAGGCAAAAUUGUCUUUUUCCUUGACGAUUUUACAUUAAAAGUCUAAACGUUAAAGUAAAUAUUUGACCACAUUUCUUCGUUGGUAACAAAUUUUAAUUACUUCAGAUAUUUUAGACUAGUAAAUGAUGUAACAUCAUUGUAUUUACUUGACCAAUCUUUACAAGUUUGUCAAAACAAGAACCAAUUGGUGGAUGAUACAACUGGAAGGUGAACUAACAUCGCUGAAGGGAUUAUAAAAUAAAGUAAAGCUAAUCCUCACAUUUAAUGUUUCAGUCAAGUUUGCUUCAAGUUUUGUUUAUUGGUGUGGCAUAUGUUUUGUAAUACUAACAUAAGCCCAUACAUGUAACAUAAAGGUUAGCUGCAGUCAUACGAUGUAUAUAGUGGUUUCAAUUCACGUAAUGAAUUAUGUGAACUUGUUUAAAUUUAACAUAAAUAGUUAUGAACGUUUUUUUUUCUUUAUUCGAAAUCAGUCUGGAAAGUAAAGGAUUUUAAAAAGUGUGUCUGAUGUUUGAUCACCUAAGGACAUUGUUUUUGACGAUUUGAAUAAAAUUAAACCAAAUAAUUAUUUUCCUCCGCAGGAUUAUGAAUUCAUUCAAUAUGAACUGAUGCACACAACGAAACAGAUUCAAUUGAAAAUAUAACUUACAUACGAGAUUUACAACUUUGCAUGUUUCACUAAAGAAGAAUUUUGCACCUUUUGAAUUCAUGGUAAGUUCACUUUAUCUUGUUUUAAAAGAGGGACGAAAAAUACCAGAGGGACAGUCAAACUCAUAAAUAGACAAUAAACUGACAACGCCAUGUCUAAAAACGAAAAGGGCAAACAGAUAAACAAUAGUACACAUAACACAACAUAGAAAACUAAAGAAUAAACAACACGAACCCCACCAAAAACUAGGGGUGAUCUCAGAUACUCCGGAAGGGUAAGCAGAUCCUGCUCCACAUGUGAAUUAAACAUGCCCAAUAGAGUGAUUCAAAAAUUAAUUAAAAGACAAAUACACUGCAACAAAACAAUUCACGAAAACUUUCUGCAUUUUCCAUUUGAAAAUUUUAAAUUUUGUAAAUUUAACAUAUCUUUACUAUAUGUUAAAUUUACAAAAUUUACAACUGCAAGGAUGCAACGAAUUAUUCAAAUCAAUUUCGACCAUAUUUCAUAUAAAUCGCUGUUUUCCUUUUAGUUAAUAUGUUACAAAAAAGAAAACAAACAAUAAAAUUAUUAGUUUCGAUUUUAUAGAUUCAAUUUUUGAGCAAUGCAUCGUUCUUAUACUCGUUUAUUGAAAAUUAAAGACAAAGUACGUAUAUUUUCAAAAAAAAUAAUUAAAAUUUAAAUAAUCUAAUCCGAAAAAAAUCAUUGAACUUGUAUUUUGUAGACGAUAUCAACCUUCAAAAAAGUAUUACUGCAUCACAGCAUAUGAACAGAUAUUUACUCAGUAACGUAUAAUCUCAAAUGAAAAUUUAUUAUCACAGAAAUUGCGUCGUUUAUGCAAUGUAAUACUAUUGUAUUCCAUUAUGAAAAAAUUGCUUAAUAUGAUAAAAUAAAAUGUAUAUCAUUUCAAAUUAUUAUUUAACCUUUUAUUUUUUAAAAUGAAAAGAAACCGAUAUUCUUUUCAUCAGAUUUUUAUUCAAUAGUGUUGUAAUCUACUAAAUUAUCACAUGUCCUCUAAAAUCAAGUCACGAAAACGUUUUUUUAUAAUAGUGUUGUAUUGAAUAAUCAACUCCAUCUUAUAUAAGAAUAAUGUAUAAACUUUCAUAUUUUUGUUAACUAUGAACAAUAAGCUAUAAAGGUAAUUAUAAAAACAUGAUAUGUAAUAGUCUUAAGAUAAAAAUCCACGAAUAUUAAAAUUAUUCUUAAAACAAUUUUUUUUUAAUUAUUUUAUUAAAAAUAAGAUAAAAUCAUCAUUCUAAAGCGUGUGUCUGAAGACUUUAGUUAUAAGAAAAUGCAAAUAUUGGUUCGUCUUGAAUACUGUGUAAUAACCCUUCCCCUAGACAGUCUGUUUUUGAAGUAGGAGAAAACCUAAUAAAGUAGGGAUAUUUUAAGUGUAAAUUAAAUAGAAGCGUUCAUGAAAACGGGUGUUUUUUUUUUUUAUUAAUAUGAGUUCGAAAACGAAAUGUAAUGAAGAUAAUGCUUAUUUCUUUGAUAAUGGAGUUUGUUUUAAACAUAAAUUACGGGUUCGAACAGAAAAAAUAUCAUAAUAUUAAAGAUUAUAAAUUGAUUCACUAAAAUAUCGGAAUAUGAGGCAUUGCACAAAUUGAAUUUUAUAAAUGUGCUAUUUGAGGGAUACAAAUAUGGUAUAGUGUGUUAAAUCGGAUAAAAAUUGAUACUGUUAUUAUCAUAAAAAAAAUCAAUAUAAUCAUAAUUUCAUUUAUUUAUAACUUUUAUAAGUCUCUGUUGAAAUGCUGACUAAUUUUAAUACUGUAAGAUUUAAAUUUUUCAUCUCUAUCUGUGAAAUUGCUUAUAUAAGAGUUAUUCCUAUGACCAGUCUUGAUGGAAAUUUGCACUUACGGCCUUUUCAUAUAUAAUUCUAUUACUUAGCUCCUGUUAAUAAAUCGUAUAAUUUAUUACUUAAAUCUGUCAUUAUAAUUAAAUUUUGUUAAUGCAUUACACAAAUUUUCAACAUGCAUAUUUUCAUCUCUAUUUUUUAAUAUCAGCAGAACUAAUGUCUGAGUACAUUAAUUUAAUAAUUUUUAAUUGAUAUCUGGACAAUAAAUAUGACUGCAAAUAUUUGACAGGGGCGAGUUCAACCAUGGAGUAAAAGAAAAGAACAAAAACUUAAAAGCUGAAUAUUUGAUGUCAAAUCAGAAAACGUUCAUGAAGAAACCAGCACGUACCAAUGCGUUCAUGGCACAUUUGAUAUUAUUUUAAUAACUCCACAUG